rfam:Negativicoccus succinicivorans DORA_17_25 Q612_NSC00286, whole genome shotgun sequence.
GCGCCCAUAGCUCAGGGGAUAGAGCAGCGGUUUCCUAAACCGCGUGUCGGAUGUUCGAAUCAUCUUGGGCGCA